rnacentral:misc_RNA from 1 species
GUGUACGUGGACGCACCCCGGCACAGACGCAGCGUGCGACGGCGGAGUAGAGGAAGACACUAGGAACGCACGCCAGAAUUGAUGCGCGGCGCUCUCGCCGCGUCACGCGUGCUGCGCCGCUUCUUGCUGCCCAAGGACGUGGAGGCGCUUCUCCAAUCCAUCCUGGAGCAUCAUGGUGCCGCGGAGGGUCCCUCUGCGAAUGCUGCCGCAGACAUUAUUCCACCCGAACAGGGGAAUAACGGCGAGGUGCCAUCGUUUGGACCUCCCUCUUGCCUGUUGAGAAAUCCAGAUGACGCUGUGGCAGAGCUGAAGACUGGCAAAGAGGCAAGCAUCGCCUCUGCGGUUGGCGGUGACGAACUGAAGGACCCUUCGCGACUUGCCAGGCUCUUCUCGACGUCACAUGAUCAGCAAAAAUCAGACUGCUCCCGCGGGCACGCAGGGCAGAGCAAGUCGACCAGUGUGCCGGCCGGUCAUGUUUACUUUACCUUGGAGGCUGUGCGUGCGCACCCGAUGAUCAGUUUUCCAGAGAUCUUGACGCAAUGGGAGCAGUUCCUCGCGUUCGACGGCGAUAAGGACGCGGAUCACGUUUCAUCGCACCUUUGCUGCUCUGAGCUGGCGUUACUCAACCUCAAGCUGGAGGAUGGUCUUUUUGCCUCGUUAGCGGCGAUGUGUGGCACUCCCCCGCCCAUCGACAAGGUGCCGAAGCACGUGGCCGACGUCCUUCGCUCCGAUUUUUGGGCGGGAAACUACGGGGAAACGCCGAGUGCCCUUCACGUUUUUCGCGCGCCCCUAUCAUAUCGCGCACCCAAGCUGCCCGCUUGCUACACGCUUCUGCACUUUUCUGCCGAGUUGGGCGACGUAGCGUAUGUGCAGGCGCUUUUGGCCCACUACCCCUCUGGUUUUCCACUCCGGUGGCUCUCCUCUCCGAUGCACGCUGUCCAAGGCUACCCGACACCUGCAAUGCUUGCCGUAGAAGAACCGGUCAGCGGUGUGGGCUUCCAACCCUUCUCAGUGCUAUCUCCACCACCGUCGGCAAUGCCAUCGGAGUCGGAAGCCGAGGUAUACGCUCGUGCAAAUACAGAGCUAUACCCGUGCGAGUGGGUUUCGGAGCACUGCCCGGACCACACGGGGAUGUAUCUCUGUCACCUGGCUGCCGCCCGCGGAAAUGUGCAGUACCUGGACUACCUUGUCGGCCUUCUCGGCGCGGAGACGGUGCUGAAGGAGCAGCGCUGCGCGCCGCCCGUGUCGCCGCUAAACACGUGGGGCCCUCUUCGCUAUCUGCCUCGCUUGACCGCAGCGCAGUGUGCCUUGGCGUUUCAUCAAACAGCGGCGCUGGAGUGGAUCGAGGCGGUACACCCGUUUGCGCUGGAGGAGAUGGAUCGCAGGACGCUGAUCCACGCGUUAAUGGCUGCAGCGAUACACAAGGACGACCUCACCGGAGCUUUUUCAUUUCUCCGGACGCGCUCGAUGGAGCCGCUGGGCAUACUCGACUUCGUGCCCGCCUCCGUCGGUGCAUUUCGGGUUAAUAUGGGAGCGUCAAAACCAUCUCAGAGCGUGUGGAGCUGCGAGCUCGAGGAGGCUGGGAUACUUCGCAUGGUAUUUGCAGCUGCAGAGGCUGGAAACGUUGGUGUGCUUCGUUGGUUUGAUGAUGCAUUGGGCGACACGGAUGUGCGGCGGCUGUGCGACCGGCAAGGCACGACGGUACUGCAUCACUGCGCGAGAGGUUUACACGCAGGGGCAAUGGCGGCGCUGCUUUCGAUCACGGCCGCUACCUCGUGCACAGACUCGCUGCAAAUGCAAGGCAGCUCUACACGGUCCCCACCUCUCUGGACUCCUCUCGAUCCCACAUGGAUAGACGUAGAGGACAGCGACGGUCGCACCCCAGCUGUGUGGUGCGUCUUGGGCCGAUCCAAGAAAGGACGGGAAGUGGAGAUGCUGGAGGUGCUGCGCAACGCCGGCUCCGACUGGCCGCGUCGCCGGCACAAUGGUCUCUCGCUCUUUGAGAUGGCGGCACAGGAGCAUUCACGCCACACAAAGUUGAUGCACUACCUGAAGCUCCAUAUCCAAGCACCCCCGCAUAGCCAGCGACGCUGAUCAAGUGUCUUUUUCCUCCUCUUUUUCAUUAUCGACACCUCUUACACCCAGCUCUCUCCACCUGUUAAGUGCAGGCACCGCGAGUGCCUUGUGAGGGGCGAAAGGGUGCGACACAGGUUGGAGGGAGGCAGGGCUGCUCAAGCGCGCCAAACACCGGGGUGUGGGUGCUUGUGAUGGCGACUCCGGGGAGACAAGUGGAUCUGCUUUGCUCUGCUUCUACUGAUGUUUUAGUUUGCUUUCUUUUUUCCCUUCUUUGAUUCUCUGCUUGCUCGUCGGUCACCUCGAAAAGGUGACAGACACGUACACACACACACCGUGUGCGUGUGGAAGCAAGACCCAAGCUAUGCGCAUCAACCAAAGAAUCCGCCCCUUCUUUUCGCUGGCUUGCGCGUUCGCUGCCUCUGCCGUGUUCUCCUUUUCGUGUUCGGCUCCCUCGACACAAUCAGGCGCGAGAGGGAGAAGAAGUUGAACGAAAUGGGAUGCGAGGAGGGCUCUGCUGAGUGGUAGGCCACUGCAGUCUCUCCCCCUCACGUGGUCUUUCAGGCAUCUUGCAUCUGCCGGGGCACAUUACCUUUAUCUCCCCCAAAGUCCGUUUUGACGGGCUUCCGCGUGUCCCUCACUGAACUCUUCUGCCCCUUUUCAAG